GAUGAACGCUGGCGGCGUGCCUAAUACAUGCAAGUCGAGCGAACUGAUUAGAAGCUUGCUUCUAUGACGUUAGCGGCGGACGGGUGAGUAACACGUGGGCAACCUGCCUGUAAGACUGGGAUAACUUCGGGAAACCGAAGCUAAUACCGGAUAGGAUCUUCUCCUUCAUGGGAGAUGAUUGAAAGAUGGUUUCGGCUAUCAUUUACAGAUGGGCCCGCGGUGCAUUAGCUAGUUGGUGAGGUAACGGCUCACCAAGGCAACGAUGCAUAGCCGACCUGAGAGGGUGAUCGGCCACACUGGGACUGAGACACGGCCCAGACUCCUACGGGAGGCAGCAGUAGGGAAUCUUCCGCAAUGGACGAAAGUCUGACGGAGCAACGCCGCGUGAGUGAUGAAGGCUUUCGGGUCGUAAAACUCUGUUGUUAGGGAAGAACAAGUACGAGAGUAACUGCUCGUACCUUGACGGUACCUAACCAGAAAGCCACGGCUAACUACGUGCCAGCCGCCGCGGUAA
rnacentral:rRNA from 1 species